GCCUACGGGACGCAGCAGUGGGGAAUAUUGGACAAUGGGCGCAAGCCUGAUCCAGCCAUGCCGCGUGGAUGAUGAAGGCCCUAGGGUUGUAAAGUCCUUUUAACGGGGAAGAUAAUGACGGUACCCGUAGAAUAAGCCCCGGCUAACUUCGUGCCAGCAGCCGCGGUAAUACGAAGGGGGCUAGCGUUGCUCGGAAUUACUGGGCGUAAAGCGCACGUAGGCGGCUUUCUAAGUCGGGGGUGAAAUCCUGGAGCUCAACUCCAGAACUGCCUUCGAUACUGGAGAGCUCGAGUUCGGGAGAGGUGAGUGGAACUGCGAGUGUAGAGGUGAAAUUCGUAGAUAUUCGCAAGAACACCAGUGGCGAAGGCGGCUCACUGGCCCGAUACUGACGCUGAGGUGCGAAAGCGUGGGGAGCAAACAGGAUUAGAUACCCUUGUAGUCC
rnacentral:rRNA from 1 species